CUGCAGCUCGAGUGGUGAUCGCUAUUAUUGGGCCUAAAACGUCCGUAGCCGGUUUGGUAAAUGCUUGGGUAAAUUGUGUGGCUUAACCAUACAAAUACCGGGUAGACUGCCAGACUAGAGACCGGGAGAGGUUAGAGGUACUCCUAGGGUAGAGGUGAAAUUCUGUAAUCCUGGGGGGACCACCAGUGGCGAAGGCGUCUAACCAGAACGGGUCUGACGGUGAGGGACGAAGCCCUGGGGCGCGAACCGGAUUAGAUACCCAAGUAGUCC
rnacentral:rRNA from 1 species